rnacentral:rRNA from 1 species
GACGGAGGGUUCAAACGUUGUUCGGAAUCACUGGGCAUAAAGAGCACGUAGGCUGCGCGCUAAGUCAGGUGUGAAAUCCCCCGGCUCAACCGGGGAACUGCACCUGAUACUGGCGUGCUCGAGGACGGUAGGGGUGAGUGGAACUCCAGGUGGAGCGGUGAAAUGCGUAGAUAUCUGGAGGAACACCGGUGGCGAAAGCGGCUCACUGGACCGUCUCUGACGCUGAGGUGCGAAAGCUAGGGUAGCAAACGGG